ACUCAGCAUACAAGUACUUUAAAUAGUUCCAAUAUUUUGGCUUCUCUGUAGUUACCUGUUACCUGCUUGUUUCAGAAAGAAAAAAGCUCCUGCCUCAGCUCCUAUCAUAGUUCUACUGCAGCCAUGGAAGAGCAACUAUACUCUCACCAUGCAUCACUGACAGAGUUGUCAGCUGAGUCCCCAGCUACAGAUUCUUUGUUGGUGGUGAAAAUGUGAGAAGCAGAAGGUAACACAGCUUGACCUGAAGAACCCAGGCUACUGGGUUCCCAGGCUAUAUGAAUUCUUAUUCAGAAAAAUAAUCCCUUUAUUCAUAAUCUGAGCAAAACUGAUAAUGAGACAAUAAAAAACCAAUGGGAAGCAGCUGCAGUCGAUCAUAAGGGGUUUCAUCUGACUCCACAGGAUGUGCAAUACGAAGCAAAGAGAUAAAAGGAGGGUUUACUAGGAUCAAAUCCAAUGGGAUUGCACAGCAGAGGGAUGAUUUCUGCACCAUAAACAGUCAUCACCGCUCACUGGAGCUGGAACACCGAGGAGAAGCAAGAGCCUCUGGCACCGGUGCUUUUCCUGUUUGAUUCCUACAGGGGAAGCACAUGAACAUUUCCAUGGUUGUGUGUGGACACACACAUGCAUGCACACCAUACUUACAAUCUUACUUCAUCUGCUUAAUUCUUCAUUAGAGAGCAUAUGAAAACUGUUGUGUAAGGAAGAGGGAAAAAAACAAUUAAUAUGUGGAAAAGGUAAAGGAGACAGAGUUUUUUUAAACUUGUUUCAAAAUACAAGGAGAAAAAGACUGAAUUAAAAAGAGUAAAUCCAAAGCAUAUAAAAAGCCUCAUUGAGGCAGGCAAAGUAUAACUCAUUUCUGGAAUUCACUGCUACAUUAAGUCCACACCUGACUUUUAAAGAUUAGUUAUUUUGAAUUUGAGAGCUUCUCUGAAAUGAAUCACAUUAGCUUUUAUGCAAGUUCACACUGGGAAAAGAAAA
rnacentral:lncRNA from 1 species